UAACUACGUGCCAGCAGCCGCGGUAAUACGUAGGGGGCAAGCGUUAUCCGGAUUUACUGGGCGUAAAGGGUGCGUAGGUGGUCCUUCAAGUCGGUGGUUAAAGGCUACGGCUCAACCGUAGUAAGCCGCCGAAACUGGAGGACUUGAGUGCAGGAGAGGAAAGUGGAAUUCCCAGUGUAGCGGUGAAAUGCGUAGAUAUUGGGAGGAACACCAGUAGCGAAGGCGGCUUUCUGGACUGCAACUGACACUGAGGCACGAAAGCGUGGGUAGCAAACAGGAUUAGAUACCCUGGUAGUCCACGCUGUAAACGAUGAGUACUAGGUGUCGGGGGUUACCCCCCUCGGUGCCGCAGCUAACGCAUUAAGUACUCCGCCUGGGGAGUACGCACGCAAGUGUGAAACUCAAAGGAAUUGACGGGGACCCGCACAAGUAGCGGAGCAUGUGGUUUAAUUCGAAGCAACGCGAAGAACCUUACCUAAGCUUGACAUCCCUCGGACAGGUGUUUAAUCACACCCUUCCUUCGGGACUGAGGUGACAGGUGGUGCAUGGUUGUCGUCAGCUCGUGUCGUGAGAUGUUGGGUUAAGUCCCGCAACGAGCGCAACCCUUGUCUUUAGUUGCCAGCAUUCAGUUGGGCACUCUAGAGAGACUGCCAGGGAUAACCUGGAGGAAGGUGGGGAUGACGUCAAAUCAUCAUGCCCCUUAUGCUUAGGGCUACACACGUGCUACAAUGGGUGGUACAGAGGGUUGCCAAACCGUGAGGUGGAGCCAAUCCCUUAAAGCCAUUCUCAGUUCGGAUUGUAGGCUGAAACUCGCCUACAUGAAGCUGGAGUUACUAGUAAUCGCAGAUCAGAAUGCUGCGGUGAAUGCGUUCCCGGGUCUUGUACACACCGCCCGUCACACCAUGGAAGUUGGGGGUGCCCAAAGUCGGUUAAUUAAUCUAUCGCCUAAGGCAAAACCAAUGACUGGGGUGAAGUCGUAACAAGGUAGCCGUUCGAGAACGAGCGGCUG
rnacentral:rRNA from 1 species